GCCGGGAGACAGACGGCCGCGCUGCGCUGGCCCUUUGGGGCCUGCGCAGUGAGGAAAGUCUGGGCACCACAGGGCAAGGAUGCCAGCUAACGGCUGGUCGGCGAGCCGAGCACCCUCCCCGCACGCCUGCGGGGGGAAAGCGGCGAAGCCGAAGGACAGUGCCACAGAAACAAGACGGCCUGCGGCCGCGUAUGCCAGGCGUGGCAGGCCGCAGGUCAAGGUGAAACGGUGCGGUAAGAGCGCACCAGGUUCCCAGGAGACUGGGAGCGCUGGUAAACCCCAUCUGGUGCAAGACCCGACAGCGCGUGAGGGCGGCCCGCCCGUUUGCAGCGCCAGGAUGGUCGCUAGAGGCGUCUGGCGACAGGCGUCCCAGAGAGAUGGUCGUCCCUGCCUCAGGGCAGGACAGAACCCAGCUUAUCGUCUCCCGGCACAA
rnacentral:RNase_P_RNA from 1 species